GACGAACGCUGGCGGCGUGCUUAACACAUGCAAGUCGAACGGAAAGGCCCUGCUUUUGUGGGGUGCUCGAGUGGCGAACGGGUGAGUAACACGUGAGUAACCUGCCCUUGACUUUGGGAUAACUUCAGGAAACUGGGGCUAAUACCGGAUAGGAGCUUCUGCUGCAUGGUGGGGGUUGGAAAGUUUCGGCGGUUGGGGAUGGACUCGCGGCUUAUCAGCUUGUUGGUGGGGUAGUGGCUUACCAAGGCUUUGACGGGUAGCCGGCCUGAGAGGGUGACCGGCCACAUUGGGACUGAGAUACGGCCCAGACUCCUACGGGAGGCAGCAGGGGGGAAUAUUGCACAAUGGGCGGAAGCCUGAUGCAGCAACGCCGCGUGCGGGAUGACGGCCUUCUGGUUGUAAACCUCUUUCGCCUGUGACGAAGCGUGAGUGACGGUAAUGGGUAAAGAAGCACCGGCUAACUACGUG
rnacentral:rRNA from 1 species